CCUACGGGAGGCAGCAGUGAGGAAUAUUGGUCAAUGGGCGAGAGCCUGAACCAGCCAAGUCGCGUGAGGGAGUACUGCCCUAUGGGUUGUAAACCUCUUUUGUCGGGGAGCAAAAGCCGGACGUGUCCGGCUGUGAGAGUAACCGAAGAAAAAGCAUCGGCUAACUCCGUGCCAGCAGCCGCGGUAAUACGGAGGAUGCGAGCGUUAUACGGAUUUAUUGGGUUUAAAGGGUGCGCAGGCGGAGUUUUAAGUCAGCGGUAAAAUCGGGGGGCUCAACCCCAUCCAGCCGUUGAAACUGGGGAUCUAGAGUGUGCGAGAGGUAUGCGGAAUGCGUGGUGUAGCGGUGAAAUGCAUAGAUAUCACGCAGAACCCCGAUUGCGAAGGCAGCAUACCGGUGCACAACUGACGCUCAGGCACGAAAGCGUGGGUAUCGAACAGGAUUAGAUACCCCAGUAGUC
rnacentral:rRNA from 1 species